GGAGAGGUGCCAGAGUGGUUGAUUGGGGCCGCCUGCUAAGCGGUUGUACCUGUCAUAGGGUACCGCAGGUUCGAAUCCUGUCCUCUCCG
rnacentral:tRNA from 1 species